UACGUAGGGUGCGAGCGUUAAUCGGAAUUACUGGGCGUAAAGCGUGCGCAGGCGGUUCGUUAUGUCCGUUGUGAAAGCCCCGGGCUCAACCUGGGAAUGGCAAUGGAAACUGGCGGGCUAGAGUGUGGCAGAGGGGGGUGGAAUUCCGCGUGUAGCAGUGAAAUGCGUAGAGAUCCGGAGGAACCCCAGAGGCGAAGGCGGCGCCCUGGCUCGCAACUGACGCUCAGACACGACAGCAUGGGGAGCGAACGGG
rnacentral:rRNA from 1 species